rnacentral:rRNA from 1 species
CCUACGGGAGGCAGCAGUGGGGAAUAUUGCACAAUGGGGGAAACCCUGAUCCAGCCACGCCGCGUGAGUGAAGACGUAUUUCGGUAUGUAAAGCUCUAUCUGCAGGGAAGAAAAUUACGGUACCUGAUUAAGAAGCCGCGGCUAACUACGGGCAAGCAGCCGCGGUAAUACGUAGGGGGCCAGCGUUAUCCGGAUUUACUGGGUGUAAAGGGAGCGUAUACGGCAGCACAAGUCUGUAGUGAAAGGCCUGGGCUUAACCCCGGAGCUGCUUUUGAAACUGUGCAGCUUGAGUGCAGGAGAGGUAAGCGGAAUGCAUAGUGUAGCGGUGAAAUGCGUAGAUAUUGGGAGGAACACCAGUGGCGAAGGCGGCUUACUGGACUGUAACUGACGUUGAGGCACGAAAGCGUGGGGAGCAAACAGGAUUAGAUACCCUUGUAGUC